UGGGGAAUUUUGGACAAUGGGCGAAAGCCUGAUCCAGCAAUGCCGCGUGUGUGAAGAAGGCCUUCGGGUUGUAAAGCACUUUUGUCCGGAAAGAAAUCCUUGGCUCUAAUACAGUCGGGGGAUGACGGUACCGGAAGAAUAAGCACCGGCUAACUACGUGCCAGCAGCCGCGGUAAUACGUAGGGUGCAAGCGUUAAUCGGAAUUACUGGGCGUAAAGCGUGCGCAGGCGGUUUGCUAAGACUGAUGUGAAAUCCCCGGGCUCAACCUGGGAACUGCAUUGGUGACUGGCAGGCUAGAGUAUGGCAGAGGGGGGUAGAAUUCCACGUGUAGCAGUGAAAUGCGUAGAGAUGUGGAGGAAUACCGAUGGCGAAGGCAGCCCCCUGGGCCAAUACUGACGCUCAUGCACGAAAGCGUGGGGAGCAAACAGGAUUAGAUACCCUGGUAGUCCACGCCCUAAACGAUGUCAACUAGUUGUUGGGGAUUCAUUUCCUUAGUAACGUAGCUAACGCGUGAAGUUGACCGCCUGGGGGAGUACGGUCGCAAGAUUAAAACUCAAAUGAAUUGACGGGGUCAUAGCUGUUUCCU
rnacentral:rRNA from 1 species